UGCAUUUGAAGCCCAUGAGGAUGAGAACCUCCGGGGGCGGGGAGGUUCGACUCGAGCGAAGCGAGAGAACGUUGCGCCAGCAACGGCCCGCAGGGCGAGCCACGAAGUGGCGAGUAAUCCUCUAUCACCGAC
rnacentral:sRNA from 1 species